rnacentral:rRNA from 1 species
GACGAACGCUGGCGGCGUGCUUAACACAUGCAAGUCGAACGGAAAGGCCCUGCUUGCAGGGUACUCGAGUGGCGAACGGGUGAGUAACACGUGGGUGAUCUGCCCUGCACUUCGGGAUAAGCCUGGGAAACUGGGUCUAAUACCGGAUAGGAGCCAUUUUUAGUGUGAUGGUUGGAAAGUUUUUUCGGUGUAGGAUGAGCUCGCGGCCUAUCAGCUUGUUGGUGGGGUAAUGGCCUACCAAGGCGGCGACGGUAGCCGGCCUGAGAGGGUGGACGGCCACAUUGGGACUGAGAUACGGCCCAGACUCCUACGGGAGGCAGCAGUGGGGAAUAUUGCACAAUGGGCGCAAGCCUGAUGCAGCGACGCCGCGUGGGGGAUGACGGCCUUCGGGUUGUAAACUCCUUUCGCUAGGGACGAAGCUUUUUGUGACGGUACCUAGAUAAGAAGCACCGGCUAACUACGUG